rnacentral:rRNA from 1 species
ACAAGUACCGUGAGGGAAAGUUGCAAAGUACUUUGAAGAGAGAGUUCAAGAGGACGUGAAACCGAUAGGAUGGAAGCAGAUGAAGUUGACGAACGUGUGUCGUAUUCAAAAUCGCUGUCAGCGGUUUGUUUUUACGGCCGAUGUGGGCCGGCGGCUUUGGUCAAUGCAACGCGUCUAGCGUCGAUGGUGACCCUGCGGAGGGACAAUCAGUCGUCGUACGGUGCUUGGUAUGGCUAAGGUUUCGCCGGUCUUAAAGUCAGCGCCUCAUCUGACCCGUCUUGAAACACGGACCAAGGAGUGUAGCGUUUGCGCAAGUCUUAGAGUGUAUCGAAACUUUGAGGCGUAACGAAAGUAAAUGCAGUUUAAUCUGCUGACUUGGGAUGCGUUGUCUCUUGUGGACGGCGCUGGACCAAGGUUUUAUCGCGAUCGCUUGCGGUGCGGUGAAAAUAGAGCGUAAACGGUGCGACCCGAAAGAUGGUGAACUAUGCCUGAGCAGGAUGAAGCCGGAGGAAACUCUGGUGGAAGUCCGAAGCGGUUCUGACGUGCAAAUCGAUCGUCUGACUUGGGUAUAGGGGCGAAAGACUAAUCGAACCAUCUAGUAGCUGGUUCCUUCCGA